CGUGUUUUCGUUAUGUGCCCGUCGUUGUUGUUAUUGUUUCGAAACGGCGUCCGAGAGGGACGGACGCGGUGGUCGAACCGGAGGAACGAAACGCGUAACAAGCAGCAUCCUCCCCCGGCCCAACCGCCACCCCUCCCUCCCCCACAACCCACCCGCUCGAUAAGUCUUGUUAUAUAUAUAGUUAUAUUCGCGACGUAUUUGCGCGACGACGAGGGCGAGCGGUAAACGGUGUAAAAAAAAAAAAGAAAACGAAAAAGCCCGUAAAAAGCCCACUUUCAGACUAAAAACGAAUUUUAUUGAAAACCGCGGUUUCGGUCGAAAACGGAUUUGUAUAAUAUUACGCGUAGGGACCGUCGUCGUCAGUGUUGCACUCAGUUCAAUAACGUAAUGUUAUUUCCGGUGUUGUAUAGAACUUUGUAAUUACAAUAUGCC